rnacentral:rRNA from 1 species
AAUAUUGGAAAACGGGGGCAACCCUGAUCCAGCCAUGCCGCUUUUUUGUAGAAGUUCUUCGCUUUGUAAAGCACUUUAAGUUAGGAGGAAUGGCUCUAUGUUAAUACCCUGAAGUAUUAACGUUACCAACUGAAUAAGUACCGUAUAUGUCUGUGCAAGCAGCCGCGGUAAUACAGAGGGUGCAAGCGUUAAUCUGAAUUACUGGGCGUAAAGCGCACGCAAGUUGUUCAGUAAUAUGGGUGUUAAAUCCCCGGGCUUAACCUGGGAACUGCUUUCAUAACUACUGUGCUAUAGUACCGUAGAAGGUAGUGGAAUUUCAUGUUUAGCGGUGAAAUGCUUAGAUAUAGGAAGGAACACCAGUGGCGAAGGCCACUACCUAGUCUGUUACUGACACUGGAGUGCGAAACCGUGGGGAGCAAGC